GUGUUGUAUGAAAGGAGAGAAGGUUAGCACUCUCCUUAACAAGGAAGAUAAAUAUGAGUAAUAUAAUAAACAGGAAUCAAUACAAUAUUAA
rnacentral:ncRNA from 1 species